rnacentral:rRNA from 1 species
CCUACGGGAGGCAGCAGUGAGGAAUAUUGGUCAAUGGCCGGAAGGUUGAACCAGCCAAGCCGCGUGAGGGAGGAAGGCGCAGAGCGUCGCAGACCUCUUUUGCCGGGGGACAAAAGGCCGGACGGGUCCGGUUCUGAGGGUACCCGGAGAAAAAGCAUCGGCUAACUCCGUGCCAGCAGCCGCGGUAAUACGGAGGAUGCGAGCGUUAUCCGGAUUCAUUGGGUUUAAAGGGUGAGAAGGCGGGCCUUUAAGCCGGCGGUGAAAUCGCGGGGCUCAACCCCGCCUGGCCGUCGGAACUGGGGGCCUUGAGUGCGGCGGAGGCAUGCGGAAUGCGCGGUGUAGCGGUGAAAUGCAUAGAUAUCACGAAGAACCCCGAGUGCGAAGGCAGCGUACCGUGCCGCCACUGACGCUGAGGCACGAAAGCGCGGGGAUCGAACAGGAUUAGAUACCCUUGUAGUC